CGGAGAGUGAUAGGGCAGAGAACGCUGUGGAACCAAUAAGGAGAUCCUGGGGACUGCCCAAUCUGUGGUCUGUCAGCUGCAGAGUUGAUGCUUCCACCCUCACGAUAUCACAGAUGACAUCAAUGGUGCUGCAGUGAAAUUUCCAGUUAGGAGCCAGUCUUCUCAUGAUGCUUGUAGCUGUGCAAGAGAAUAAUAACCAAGCACAACUCUUCAAGGCUUCAUCUCUUCUAGCAUCAGGUCCAUCAAAGCAGUUGACCAGUAAUUCCAGAUGACCUUACUGGCCAAAUAAUUCUUCUGCUUCCAUCUCCUUAUUUCUUCUCCCACCAUCCUGAAAUAUGGAAGUACAGUUCUAAAGAGUGGCCCUGAAACUGAUCAGAAAUUCUUCAUGCAUCUCAGUGCUCUUGCUUGGGCAAUCUUCCUAAAUAUUUCCCAUGUGUACAAAGAGUACCUCCCAGUCUAGCUCUUUAGUUCAAUGCACAAAAUCCUUCUUGAAGGGUGCCUGCCUUAUCCACCUUCACAGAAUCAGUAAGUGGUAGAGCCAGGACUCAUGUCCAUGUGGUGUGCUUCCAGAGCAGAUGUGUUUGUCCAAAAUACCAUAUUGUAAUCAUACAUGGAUUUGUCUGCCUCCCAUAAGACUGUAAGUUCCUUGAGGACAACGGGACUAUGUCUUCUUCGUUUUGGUAUCUUCAGUGUCAUGCCCUCCUAAGAUACUCAAAAACUACGUGUUACAUAAUUUUUGGAAAACUUGCAUUUUGAA
ensembl:lncRNA